AGUAGCUGCACACUAGCAGUCUGGAGUACCACCUUACUUCUGUGCACUUCCUGUUUUUAGAGGCGAGCUUGCUCUUGGGAUUAGAUCAAGAUAGCAGGUAAAGGACCCCAUCCAUGUCCCUAUGUCUCAGAAAACCCCAGACAGAAAACAGACCAGAAAUAAUGAUGACACUGACCAGAGGAGAGGAAACUACAACCCAGCAAACACGGGACCACGGGAGCAAACUAUUGGGAAGGGAAAAGCAGACUGAGAGGGAUUCCCAGCUGGAGGAUGAGCUGGGAUUGCCUGUCCGCAAAAAGAAAACAGAGUCUGUCAACCCUAGCAGAAAUGCGCAGUUCAGGUGGCAGAGGAGUUAACUCUCUGGAAGAUUACAGAGAUUGUUGCCCACUGCUAUGUAAAGGGAGCAACCAUAGGUAAGAAGGAUUUCUGGGGAGUCGAAAAGGUAUGAUUAACACAUUUUAAAAAUCUCAGGGGUAAAAUAUAAUUCAGAG
rnacentral:lncRNA from 1 species